rnacentral:lncRNA from 1 species
GAUGUAACUAUUUAAUUUGGACCAAUGAAGGAAAACUGGGCAUAGUGAAAUGUAUUUACAUGGCUUCCUUUAACUUCUAGCCUCUUGCAAAAAAAGGCAGAUGACCCUCUCAGGGACCAUGUACCAGGUGGGAUUUCCUACCAUCUCCUGCUGCAGCUCUACUAUCUGAGAGUUAUCUCCAGCUCACCUUGAUGAUCAGUCCUCAAUGUGUGUGUCUACUCCUGACAGAGAUACAAUGCUGAAGAAUAAACUGGAAAAAAGCCCCUAGGAAAAUCUAUUCUGGGAGCAAUCAGAGGAGGUGUCAAAAUCUUUGACUGCCAGCAAGAGGCACUUGAAAGAAGUACUCACUAUCCAAGGAAGCGAUGUAAGGAGUCCCCAGCCCCAGAUGUUGGGUGAGGAGGGGGGCUGAAACUUCUGCUCUCUGGAGGAAAGGUUGCAGGCGAUGAAGAGGAAGAGCAGCUAAAGCAGCAGCUCUGGUAAAUAGGUACAGUUAAUUCUUUAUUGCAAUAAAAUGUUAAUUUAAUUUUAAAACCUAAUUUUUUUAGCUUAAUCUUAAGGUCUUUUCCAACCCUAACUAUUGUAUGAUUCUAUGAUAUGCUUUGAAUUUUAUUUGCAACAAGUCACUGACAAUCAGCUCUGAGUGUUCU